UAUAAGGACAGGCUCCAGAAAGGAGAAAAAAAAAGAAGAAGCAUUAAUUAGAGAACGACGCCUCGGACAUGGACAGCACUCUUCCCGACGAGCACGACUAAACAAGUGGACAAGAAGAGGACACACGAAGCCUUGCACGGAGCUUCUUUGGAGAAAAAAUGACUCCGGAGAGUGUAAUGCUGUAACGCUGUUUGGAUCACGCGAUGGAGAACUCCGGCACCUGAUUCACUGAAUGGCGGUUUGUUGAGAGGAAGUCACUCAUCACCGCGACACCUUCACGCAGGAGUUAUCAAUGGCGAAGGCUUGCUCUCCGUUUCCUUGAACCAGCGAUGAACUUGUGAGCAGCCAAAGCCUCUCACACUAAUCCUGGCUAUGAGGUCAGUAACAGUGUGUCUCUGAGCAGACAUGCAAAUGAUCCAGGUCCCUUCAGCGACCCUGUGGGUGCUCCGCCCUCUCCGGUGACAUCACCUCGUACACUGACUUAAGAGCAUGCUUCGCUAAUAGGCUUUUAUUACACUACCAUGCUAUCUCUAAAUUGCCAAGUUGUAUCAAAUGUAAGUAGUGUGUGUGUGGAUUACACUUGCUAACUUAGGCACUGAAAAGGCAAGGACAAAGACAACCAGGUGCAGUCAAGAGACAAAUUAAAUUAAUACCACACUAUUAAAAGAUGUAGCCAUGGAUCAUCCCGUUUCUAUAGAAAGACUGGCAUCUGUUUCGGAGAAAGAAAGAUGACCAGCUCUCUGUAAUCAGCCAAGAAAUCUGUUUUUCAGGAGGAUUUUUUUCAUAAGCUGUCAGCUCGUCGAGGAUAUAAAUGAUAAAUUUCAUGCUCAUGAGCAUAAAUUAAAUUUUUAAAAAUUAUGAAGUAACAGCAGGAUUAUAAGGAAAUCAAAUCAGUAAAGCUUGUCUACUCUAUCAGUAAUCCAGAAAAAAUGAUGUCAAAAUAUUUUAUUUGAUGAGACUUGGGCUAUUCUCGGUUUAUUUAAGUGAGCUGCAAUUACACAUGAGAUUAAUGCUUGGAAAAUUUAAGACUUGCAUGUUACGUUGAGCUAAACCUUUUUUUGUUCACUAAUAACUGAAUAGAAUAUGGCAUCCUUGGCACCACAUACUCUUCCUUACUUCGGAGUUAUAUUAUAGAGUCGCCAGGAAAAAAAAAGUCUACAAGUAUAAAAAUAAAAUAAAACGGAUCUCACAAAGAUUACACAGAAAUAAUCACAUUAACAAAUGACAAUCUUCACUGAAGGAAAAUUAGCAACUAAGAAAUAUCUCCAAUAACUCCAAACCAGAGAGAAAAUAUAAAAAUGUGCUGACUGUAAUUAGUCUCCAUCUGUAGCACGUCAUUCAAACCGGUCUCUUAAUUGAUUAAACAUGACUUUCAUUUAAUUUUCAAAAAACUGCUGGCUCUCAUUAGAGGGGGAUUUUGAUACGCCAUAAUUACACCGUUGUUGCAAAAUAAUGGUAUCUUUGAUUUCAAUAAUUAUG